rnacentral:rRNA from 1 species
AGUCAGCGGCGCGCGGGGCACCUGGCGGCGAGCGGCGAACGGGUGACUUUGCAUCGGAACAUGUCCAUGUCGUGGGGGAUAGCCCGGCGAAAGCCGGAUUAAUACCGCAUACGCCCGAGAGGGGAAAGUGGGGGACCGCAAGGCCUCACGCGAUUGGGUUGGCCGAUGUCCGAUUAGCUAGUUGGCGGGGUAAGAGCCCACCAAGGCGAUGAUCGGUAGCUGGUCUGAGAGGAUGAUCAGCCACACUGGGACUGAGACACGGCCCAGACUCCUACGGGAGGCAGCAGUGGGGAAUUUUGGACAAUGGGGGAAACCCUGAUCCAGCCAUUCCGCGUGAGUGAAGAAGGCCUUCGGGUUGUAAAGCUCUUUUGUCCGGAACGAAACGGUGAGCGUGAAUAUCGCUCGCUACUGACGGUACCGGAAGAAUAAGCACCGGCUUACUACGUGCCAGCAGCCGCGGUAAUACUUUAGGGUGCUAGCGUUAA